UAGAACAAGGACCAAUGAAUGGAAACACCACCAUUCAGCUAAAUGAGGGAACUGAUGGAGACAUCAGCUGCAGCGUGAAGAACCACGUCAGUCACACACAGAAGAACAUUAGACUCAAACACUGUCCUGGACCAACUACUGCAGCUGUGACCUCUAGUUUGACCUCUCCAGUGACACAGACAUCAGAAUGUGUGUGUUCAGUUUCUGUGGUGUUUGUUCUGGUCUGGUGUC